UUUUUUUUUCUAUAAACACAAUUUACGACUUGGUAAUAUAUUCCCUUGUAAUCGCUCUCGUUAACUUUUGUUUUAAUUACUAUUUUAUACACUCCACAUCUGUUUUUAGUCUUAUCGACCGGACGUUCAUUUCGAAUGAUGUUCCCUUGUUUUCAAUUUCAGUAUUGUUGUUAUCACUAUGUUAUGAAACACAAAUCUGUUCGUAAUCUGCUCUUUUCCGU